rnacentral:rRNA from 1 species
UGACGGUACCUGACUAAGAAGCCCCGGCUAACUACGUGCCAGCAGCCGCGGUAAUACGUAGGGGGCAAGCGUUAUCCGGAAUUACUGGGUGUAAAGGGUGCGCAGGUGGUAAGGCAAGUCAGGAGUGAAAUGCCGGGGCUCAACCCCGGAACUGCUCUUGAAACUGUUUAACUGGAGUGCAGGAGAGGUAAGCGGAAUUCCUAGUGUAGCGGUGAAAUGCGUAGAUAUUAGGAGGAACACCAGUGGCGAAGGCGGCUUACUGGACUGUAACUGACGUUGAGGCUCGAAAGCGUGGGGAGCAAACAGGAUUAGAUACCCUG